UACGUAGGGUGCAAGCGUUGUCCGGAAUUAUUGGGCGUAAAGAGCUCGUAGGCGGUCUGUCGCGUCGGCUGUGAAAACUCGGGGCUCAACUCCGAGCUUGCAGUCGAUACGGGCAGGCUAGAGUUCGGCAGGGGAGACUGGAAUUCCUGGUGUAGCGGUGAAAUGCGCAGAUAUCAGGAGGAACACCGGUAGCGAAGGCGGGUCUCUGGGCCGAUACUGACGCUGAGGAGCGAAAGCGUGGGGAGCGAACAGG
rnacentral:rRNA from 1 species